GAGGAACGCUGGCGGCGCGCCUAACACAUGCAAGUCGAACGGAGCUUAGAGAGCUUGCUUUUUAAGCUUAGUGGCGAACGGGUGAGUAACGCGUGAGUAACCUGCCCUAGAGUGGGGGACAACAGUUGGAAACGACUGCUAAUACCGCAUAAGCCCACGGUGCCGCAUGACACUGAGGGAAAAGGAUUUAUUCGCUUUAGGAUGGACUCGCGUCCAAUUAGCUAGUUGGUGAGGUAACGGCCCACCAAGGCGACGAUUGGUAGCCGGACUGAGAGGUUGAACGGCCACAUUGGGACUGAGACACGGCCCAGACUCCUACGGGAGGCAGCAGUGGGGGAUAUUGCACAAUGGGGGAAACCCUGAUGCAGCGACGCCGCGUGGAGGAAGAAGGUUUUCGGAUUGUAAACUCCUGUCGUUAGGGACGAUAAUGACGGUACCUAACAAGAAAGCACCGGCUAACUACGUGCCAGCAGCCGCGGUAAAACGUAGGGUGCAAGCGUUGUCCGGAAUUACUGGGUGUAAAGGGAGCGCAGGCGGGAAGACAAGUUGGAAGUGAAAACCAUGGGCUCAACCCAUGAAUUGCUUUCAAAACUGUUUUUCUUGAGUAGUGCAGAGGUAGAUGGAAUUCCCGGUGUAGCGGUGGAAUGCGUAGAUAUCGGGAGGAACACCAGUGGCGAAGGCGGUCUACUGGGCACCAACUGACGCUGAGGCUCGAAAGCAUGGGUAGCAAAAAGGAUUAGAUACCCUGGUAGUCCAUGCCGUAAAC
rnacentral:rRNA from 1 species